CUCUGAUUGAAGAUAUAAAUGUGACCCUGGGUUCGAAUUUUCCAAUGGAGCCACCGAGUCAACUAUCACUUGCGGAAACAACGGGGAAUGGACACCAACCAUCUCUGAUUGCAAACGGGUCAGUUGUGGACCGCCCACACUUUCCGAAGCCAACAAAUUGUUUUCAAACUAUGACGCCACUAAUCCGCCCAAAGAGGGCGACAAGAUUGUGAUCCAUUGCUCUCCAGGAUACUAUUUUCGGCACAAUUCGUCGCAACUCGAAUUUGAGGCCACUUGUAAACUGCAGGGAGACACUUGGGAGUACAUCAAACCGGCGAAAUACGCCACCGCCAUGCCUGUUUGCAUGAAAGCCAAGUUUUGUCCAAUCCCUCCUACUAUUCCUGACGGAGUAGAGCUCAGACGAAAGUUUAAUUUCAUUUACACCAUCGAUUCGGACCUCCAUUGGACAGGAAGUUCUAUCAAUCCAAGUGCAACUGGGGUGAUCAAUGCUUUUGACGGGGAAAUCCACCGAAGCCACUUCUUCCACAGCC